rnacentral:rRNA from 1 species
CCUACGGGUGGCAGCAGUGGGGAAUAUUGGGCAAUGGACGCAAGCCUGACCCAGCAACGCAGCGUGCAGGAAGAAGGCUUUCGGGGUGUAAACUUCUUUUGACAGGGAAGAGUAGUGGACGGUACCUGGCGUAUAAGCGACGGCUAACUACGUGCCAGCAGCCGCGUUAAUACGGAGGUGGCAAGCGUUGUCCGGAUUUACUGGGUGUAACGGGAGUGCAGCCGGGUUGACAAGCCAGAUGUGAACCCCUGCGGCUUAACCGUAGAACUGCAGUUGAAACUGUGGAUCUUGAGUACAGGAGAGGCAGACGGAAUUCCUGGUGUAGCGGUGAAAUGCUUAGAUAUCAGGAGGAACACCAGUGGCGAAGGCAGUCUGCUGGACCGCAACUGACGGUGAGGCGCGAAGGCGCGGGGAGCAAACAGGAUUAGAUACCCUUGUAGUC